UACGGAGCAGGCAAGCGUUAUCCGGAAUUAUUGGGCGUCAAGCGUCCGUAGGAGGUUGGCCAAGUCUGCUGUCAAAGGGUGGGGCUUAACCUCAUAAAGGCAGUGGAAACUGGCGAGCUAGCGUGCGGUAGGGGUAGGGGGAAUUCCCAGUGUAGCGGUGAAAUGCGUAGAGAUUGGGAAGAACAUCGGUGGCGAAAGCGCCCUGCUGGGCCUGCACUGACACUGAGGGACGAAAGCUAGGGGAGCGAAAGGG
rnacentral:rRNA from 1 species